GAAAGCUCCCAUGGAGCAAACCCUAGUUCUUCAACAUAAUCUUCAAAUUGGAUGAUCAAUUGAAGGCCAAAUUCGGAUUUGAAUACAUAGAAACGAUCACCAAGUCAAGGGGAUCGUAAGUUUGACGAUUAACAAGCUAGGUGAAAGCUUGGGAACGAAGCGGGUCAAACGAAGCAAGAAUGACGGAAAAGCAUAAUUUGGAAGUAAGGUAAAAUUUUAGCACCAGAGGACGAUCAAGCUCAGCGAGGAACCGAACACAUAAAGAACAAAGCUUCCGCAUGACGUUUCGUUGUUACUUUUAAAUGACGAACUUAAUUACAUUAUGUCACACCCCGAUUUCCACGUGUCUCACCAGUGGGCCCGGUGGGGGAUUACCGUGACGAUGUUGGC